UACGGAGGGUGCAAGCGUUAUCCGGAAUCAUUGGGUUUAAAGGGUGCGUAGGCGGCCAUGUAAGUCAGGAGUGAAAGUUUGCGGCUCAACCGUAAAAUUGCUUUUGAUACUGCAUGGCUGGAAUCAGGAUGAGGUCAGCGGAAUGUGGCAUGUAGCGGUGAAAUGCAUAGAUAUGCCAUAGAACACCAAUUGCGAAGGCAGCUGGCUAGACCUGUAUUGACGCUGAGGCACGAAAGCGUGGGGAGCGAACAGG
rnacentral:rRNA from 1 species